CCUACGGGAGACAGCAGUGGGGAAUAUUGGGCAAUGGGCGCAAGCCUGAUCCAGCAACGCCGCGUGAAGGAUGACGGCCUUCGGGUUGUAAAACUCUUUUUUGAGGGACGAUAAUGACGGUACCUGAGGCUUAAGCCACGGCUAACUACGUGCCAGCAGCCGCGGUAAUACGUAGGUGGCGAGCGUUAUCCGGAUUUACUGGGCGUAAAGGGAGCGUAGGCGGGUUGUUAAGUGAGUUGUGAAAACUUUGGGCUCAACCCAUAGGCUGCAUUUGAAACUGUCGGUCUUGAGUGUAGGAGAGGCAGGCGGAAUUCGUGGUGUAGCGGUGAAAUGCGUAGAGAUACGGAAGAACACCAGUGGCGAAGGCGGCUUGCUGGACUGUAACUGACGCUGAGGCUCGAAAGCGUGGGUAGCAAACAGGAUUAGAUACCCGUGUAGUC
rnacentral:rRNA from 1 species